rnacentral:rRNA from 1 species
GAUGAACGCUGACAGAAUGCUUAACACAUGCAAGUCCACUUGAAUUUGGGUUUUUACCUUAGGUUUGGGUGGCGGACGGGUGAGUAACGCGUAAAGAACUUGCCUCACAGCUAGGGACAACAUUUGGAAACGAAUGCUAAUACCUAAUAUUAUGAUAAUAGGGCAUCCUAUAAUUAUGAAAGCUAUAAGCGCUGUGAGAGAGCUUUGCGUCCCAUUAGCUAGUUGGAGAGGUAACGGCUCACCAAGGCGAUGAUGGGUAGCCGGCCUGAGAGGGUGAUCGGCCACAAGGGGGCUGAGACACGGCCCUUACUCCUACGGGAGGCAGCAGUGGGGAAUAUUGGACAAUGGACCGAGAGUCUGAUCCAGCAAUUCUGUGUGCACGAUGAAGUUUUUCGGAAUGUAAAGUGCUUUCAGUUGGGAAGAAACAAAUGACGGUACCAACAGAAGAAGAGACGGCUAAAUACGUG